AGUGAACGCUGGCGGUAGGCCUAACACAUGCCAGUCGAACGGCAGCACAGUAAGAGCUUGCUCUUACGGGUGGCGAGUGGCGGACGGGUGAGGAAUAUAUCCUAAUCUACUUUUUCGUGGGGGUUAACGUAGGGAAACUUACGCUAAUACCGCAUACGCCCUACGGUUGAAAGCAGGGGAUCUUCGGACCUUGCGCGAUUGAAUGAGCGGAUGUCGGAUUAGCUAGUUGGCUGGGUAAAGGCCCACCCAGUGGAGGAUCCGUAGCCGGACUGAGAGAAUGAUCGGCGACACGGGAACGGAGACACGGACAAGACGACUACGGGACGCAGCAGUGGGGAAUAUUGGACAAUGGGCGCAAGCCUGAUCCAGCCAGACCGCGUGGGUGAAGGAGGCCUUCGGGUUGUAAAGCCCUUUUGUUGGGAGAGAAAAGCAGCAGGUUAAUACCACGCUGUUCUGACGGUACCCAAAGAAGAAGCACCGGCUAACUUCGUG
rnacentral:rRNA from 1 species